GCGCCCUUAGCUCAGCUGGAUAGAGCGCUUGACUUCGGAUCAAGCGGCCGGGGGUUCGAAUCCCUCAGGGCGCGCCA
rnacentral:tRNA from 5 species